AUUGAACGCUGGCGGCAGGCCUAACACAUGCAAGUCGAGCGGUAGAGAGGUGCUUGCAUCUCUUGAGAGCGGCGGACGGGUGAGUAAUGCCUAGGAAUCUGCCUAGUGGUGGGGGAUAACGUUCGGAAACGGACGCUAAUACCGCAUACGUCCUACGGGAGAAAGCGGGGGAUCUUCGGACCUCGCGCCAUUAGAUGAGCCUAGGUCGGAUUAGCUAGUUGGUGAGGUAAUGGCUCACCAAGGCGACGAUCCGUAACUGGUCUGAGAGGAUGAUCAGUCACACUGGAACUGAGACACGGUCCAGAUUCCUACGGGAGGCAGCAGUGGGGAAUAUUGGACAAUGGGCGAAAGCCUGAUCCAGCCAUGCCGCGUGUGUGAAGAAGGUCUUCGGAUUGUAAAGCACUUUAAGUUGGGAGGAAGGGUAGUAACCUAAUACGUUGCUACUUUGACGUUACGACAGAAUAAGCACCGGCUAACUUCGUGCCAGCA
rnacentral:rRNA from 1 species